AUUGAACGCUGGCGGCAUGCCUUACACAUGCAAGUCGAACGGCAGCACGGGAGCAAUCCUGGUGGCGAGUGGCGAACGGGUGAGUAAUAUAUCGGAACGUGCCCAGUAGUGGGGGAUAGCCCGGCGAAAGCCGGAUUAAUACCGCAUACGACCUAAGGGUGAAAGCGGGGGAUCGCAAGACCUCGCGCUAUUGGAGCGGC
rnacentral:rRNA from 1 species